AGAGUUUGAUCCUGGCUCAGGAUGAACGCUAGCGGGAGGCCUAACACAUGCAAGCCGAGCGGUAGAGUAUCUUCGGAUACUUGAGAGCGGCGCACGGGUGCGGAACACGUGUGCAACCUGCCUUUAUCUGGGGGAUAGCCUUUCGAAAGGAAGAUUAAUACCCCAUAAUAUAUUGAGUGGCAUCACUUAAUAUUGAAAACUCCGGUGGAUAGAGAUGGGCACGCGCAAGAUUAGAUAGUUGGUAGGGUAACGGCCUACCAAGUCGAUGAUCUUUAGGGGGCCUGAGAGGGUGAUCCCCCACACUGGUACUGAGACACGGACCAGACUCCUACGGGAGGCAGCAGUGAGGAAUAUUGGACAAUGGGUGAGAGCCUGAUCCAGCCAUCCCGCGUGAAGGAUUAAGGUCCUAUGGAUUGUAAACUUCUUUUGUAUAGGGAUAAACCUACUCUCGUGAGAGUAGCUGAAGGUACUAUACGAAUAAGCACCGGCUAACUCCGUGCCAGCAGCCGCGGUAAU
rnacentral:rRNA from 1 species